rnacentral:lncRNA from 1 species
AUCAUCAAGAAUCUGCAAUAUAAGAAUUUGAAAGUUACCUAGUUUGUGGAAUAAUCAAACACAGCAGUGUAGCAACAAAAAACUCAGCAGCAAAUACAGUAGAAACAACAGCAACUCAAGUGUUAAGACAAAAAAGAAAACUCAACAAAGAUGCUUGAAACUGGUAGCUAUCAACUUCACAAAUUGCCUAAAGGAUCUUUCUAUGUUUCUUGAGGUUUUUGCACUCAAAUAAUUCUCACAAAACUCUGAAAUUUUAGCUUGUUAUAUGUAUUAAGCUGCUGAUUUUUCUCAAAGAUAUAUGUCUUUAAACAACUCUCCAAGAUGUGUCUCAGUAUAAGAUAGAGUGUGUAAUAGAGUGUCCCUCCCUUUUCAGUGAGUAAAGAGCCCUUUAAAUAGGCAAAUAAAUCAGAUUUUUUGGACAGAUUUUGGUUCAUUAAAAGUCUGUCCAAAAGACUGACUUUGUAUGCUAAACACUGUUCAAAAGCUAUCAAAAAAGUAUUGUGCUUGUCACCACACAAUGAUUUUUGAGUUUUCCACUCCAAAGUCUUUGCACAGUAAAAACAACCAAAUUUGUAUUAUUCCUUCUUUAAUUUCAGCUUUUAUCAACACAAAAAUUCAAAUACUCAAAUCUAAUAAAAGCAAAUUCACUAAGCACUUGAAACUUCUAUCAUAAACUAUCAUGACCAAGCAAAUAGCCAUUUUAAAACUAAUGAAUAACUAAUUAUCAGUGAUUAAUAACUAUGAACGACUAAGCUAACAUAGAUUAAACAUAACUAAUAAUAAAAAUAUAAAUAAUAAUAAUAAAAAUAAAUAAAUAAAUAAAAUCAGAAAUUAUGCUAGACAUAAACUAAAUACAAUACAAUUAGAAAAAAUAGACAAAGGAAAUGAGAAUAGGGGUAUACCAAACGAAGGUGUUCGGGGUAGUCGCCGGAAUUUGGCCGGAUUUUUAGUUGCCGAAUUUUUGGGAUGGAAUUGACAUCAAUAGGUAGGUCUUGAUGAGCUCUAUCCGUUGAUGUAGGUAUUGUGGGACGGUAGUGGCCGGAACUUCAAGCUUUUGGGCAAAAAAGUGGCGGCUAAAGUAUCCUAAAUCUAAAAUUCAAGGCAUUUGAGGGGGUUUUGAAGGAUUUGAUUUGGAGAUAUGGAAAGAGGAGGUUGUAGAGAUUACAUGGUGUGAAUUUGUGGGUGUUUGGAGGUUGGCCGCCGCCGGUGGCUGAUUUCCGGCGGCGGAGAGAAGAGAGAGAAGAGAGAGAAGAGAGAGAGAAGGGAGAAAGAGUUAUG